GGGACAAGCCCUGGAAACGGGGUCUAAUACCGGAUAUGACACACGACCGCAUGGUCUGUGUGUGGAAAGCUCCGGCGGUGCAGGAUGAGCCCGCGGCCUAUCAGCUUGUUGGUGGGGUAAUGGCCUACCAAGGCGACGACGGGUAGCCGGCCUGAGAGGGCGACCGGCCACACUGGGACUGAGACACGGCCCAGACUCCUACGGGAGGCAGCAGUGGGGAAUAUUGCACAAUGGGCGCAAGCCUGAUGCAGCGACGCCGCGUGAGGGAUGACGGCCUUCGGGUUGUAAACCUCUUUCAGCAGGGAAGAAGCGCAAGUGACGGUACCUGCAGAAGAAGCGCCGGCUAACUACGUGCCAGCAGCCGCGGUAAUACGUAGGGCGCAAGCGUUGUCCGGAAUUAUUGGGCGUAAAGAGCUCGUAGGCGGCUUGUCGCGUCGGAUGUGAAAGCCCGGGGCUUAACCCCGGGUCUGCAUUCGAUACGGGCAGGCUAGAGUUCGGUAGGGGAGAUCGGAAUUCCUGGUGUAGCGGUGAAAUGCGCAGAUAUCAGGAGGAACACCGGUGGCGAAGGCGGAUCUCUGGGCCGAUACUGACGCUGAGGAGCGAAAGCGUGGGGAGCGAACAGGAUUAGAUACCCUGGUAGUCCACGCCGUAAACGUUGGGAACUAGGUGUGGGCGACAUUCCACGUCGUCCGUGCCGCAGCUAACGCAUUAAGUUCCCCGCCUGGGGGAGUACGGCCGCAAGGCUAAAACUCAAAGGAAUUUGACGGGGGGG
rnacentral:rRNA from 1 species